GCUCACAGCACCCCUGGAGAACUUCACCCUCCCCUGAUUUUCCAGAGAUGGAGACACAGGCGCUCACCCAGCUGGGAAGCCACUGAACUGGGACUCAAACCCAGGCCCGCAGGAGGAGGCCAAAGGAUUCCUUUAGUGCCCCCUGAGGUGGACUGGCAUCUCACAACUUGGAAUACCAGGAGAUGGGCAGAAGCCCUUGCUGAGGUCCAGACAGAAGAAGUGGGACCCAGAGGGAGCAGCCCAGCCUCUCACACGGCCGAGUGAG